GAUGAACGCUAGCGGCAGGCCUAAUACAUGCAAGUCGAGGCGUAGAGGAAGCUUGCUUUCUUGAGACCGGCGCACGGGUGCGUAACGCGUAUGCAACCUACCUUUAUCAGGGGGAUAGCCCGGAGAAAUCCGGAUUAACACCGCAUAAAAUCACAGAACAGCAUUGUUUCAUGAUCAAAUAUUUAUAGGAUAAAGAUGGGCAUGCGUGCCAUUAGCUAGUUGGCGGGGUAACGGCCCACCAAGGCGACGAUGGCUAGGGGCUCUGAGAGGGUAAUCCCCCACACUGGUACUGAGCCGCGGACCAGACUCCGACGGGAGGCAGCAGUAAGGAAGAUUGGUCAAUGGGGACAACCCUGAACCAGCCAUGCCGCGUGCAGGAAGACUGCCCUAUGGGUUGUAAACUGCUUUUGUACGGGAAUAACCACUGGUAUGUAUACCAGCCUGAAUGUACCGUAAGAAUAAGGAUCGGCUAACUCCGUGCCAGCCGCCGCCGUAAUAC
rnacentral:rRNA from 1 species